UAGAUUGUAUGGUAUGCCAAGCCUCCAU
rnacentral:sRNA from 1 species